rnacentral:rRNA from 1 species
AUUGAACGCUGGCGGCAGGCCUAACACAUGCAAGUCGAACGGUAACAGGAAACAGCUUGCUGUUUCGCUGACGAGUGGCGGACGGGUGAGUAAUGUCUGGGAAACUGCCUGAUGGAGGGGGAUAACUACUGGAAACGGUAGCUAAUACCGCAUAACGUCGCAAGACCAAAGAGGGGGACCUUCGGGCCUCUUGCCAUCGGAUGUGCCCAGAUGGGAUUAGCUAGUAGGUGGGGUAACGGCUCACCUCGGCGACGAUCCCUAGCUGGUCUGAGAGGAUGACCAGCCACACUGGAACUGAGACACGGUCCAGACUCCUACGGGAGGCAGCAGUGGGGAAUAUUGCACAAUGGGCGCAAGCCUGAUGCAGCCAUGCCGCGUGUAUGAAGAAGGCCUUCGGGUUGUAAAGUACUUUCAGCGGGGAUGAAGGGAGUAAAGUUAAUACCUUUGCUCAUUGACGUUACCCGCAGAAGAAGCACCGGCUAACUCCGUG